rnacentral:rRNA from 1 species
AUUGAACGCUGGCGGCAGGCCUAACACAUGCAAGUCGAACGAGUGGCGGACGGGUGAGUAAUUUCUGGGAAACUGCCCGAUGGAGGGGGAUAACUACUGGAAACGGUAGCUAAUCCCGCAUACCAUCGGAUGUGCCCCGAUGGGAUUGGCUAGUAGGUGGGGUAAUGGCUAACCUAGGCGACGAUCCCUAGCUGGUCUGAGAGGAUGACCAGCCACACUGGAACUGAGACACGGUCCAGACUCCUACGGGAGGCAGCAGGGGGGAAUAUUGCACAAUGGGCGCAAGCCGGAUGCAGCCAUGCCGCGUGUAUGAAGAAGGCCUUCGGGUUGUAAAGUACUUUCAGCGAGGAGGCGUUACUCGCAGAAGAAGCACCGGCUAACUCCGUGCCAGCAGCCGCGGUAAUAC